CCUACGGGUGGCUGCAGUGAGGAAUAUUGGUCAAUGGACGAGAGUCUGAACCAGCCAAGUAGCGUGAAGGAUGACUGCCCUAUGGGUUGUAAACUUCUUUUACAUGGGAAUAAAAUGUUCCACGUGUGGGAUUUUGUAUGUACCAUAUGAAUAAGGAUCGGCUAACUCCGUGCCAGCAGCCGCGGUAAUACGGAGGAUCCGAGCGUUAUCCGGAUUUAUUGGGUUUAAAGGGAGCGUAGGUGGAUUGUUAAGUCAGUUGUGAAAGUUUGCGGCUCAAACGUAAAAUUGCAGUUGAAACUGGAAGUCUUGAGUACAGUAGAGGUGGGCGGAAUUCGUGGUGUAGCGGUGAAAUGCUUAGAUAUCACGAGGAACUCCGAUUGCGAAGGCAGUUCACUGGACUGCAACUUACGCUGAGGCUCGAAAGUGUGGGUAUCAAACAGGAUUAGAGACCCCAGUAGUC
rnacentral:rRNA from 1 species